rfam:Oryza glaberrima chromosome 12 Oglab12_0018_2, whole genome shotgun sequence.
UUCAAGUGCAAUCAUAAAUUUCGUGUUUAACUUUAAUUAUUCGUCUUAUUUAAUUUUUUUAUAAUUAGUAUUUUUACUGUUAUGAGAUGAUAAAACAUGAAUCUUAUUUUUUAAAAAAAUUCAAAUAAGACGGACGGGUAAAAUUGUGCACGGAAAAUUAUGACUGCACUUAAA